rfam:Clostridium leptum CAG:27 genomic scaffold, scf121
GCGUGAGUAGUUCAAUGGCAGAAUGUCAGCUUCCCAAGCUGAACACGCGGGUUCGAUUCCCGUCUCGCGCU